UACGGGGGGGGCAAGCGUUGUUCGGAAUUACUGGGCGUAAAGGGCUCGUAGGUGGCCAACUAAGUCAGACGUGAAAUCCCUCGGCUUAACCGGGGAACUGCGUCUGAUACUGGAUGGCUUGAGUUUGGGAGAGGGAUGCGGGAUUCCAGGUGUAGCGGUGAAAUGCGUAGAUAUCUGGAGGAACACCGGUGGCGAAGGCGGCUUCCUGGCCGAGUACUGACGCUGAUGCACGAAAGCGUGGGGAGCGAACGGG
rnacentral:rRNA from 1 species